CGUACACUCCUGCGGGAGGCAGCAGUGGGGAAUAUUGCACAAUGGGCGCAAGCCUGAUGCAGCCAUGCCGCGUGUAUGAAGAAGGCCUUCGGGUUGUAAAGUACUUUCAGCGGGGAGGAAGGCAAUACGGUUAAUAACCGUGUUGAUUGACGUUACCCGCAGAAGAAGCACCGGCUAACUCCGUGCCAGCAGCCGCGGUAAUACGGAGGGUGCAAGCGUUAAUCGGAAUUACUGGGCGUAAAGCGCACGCAGGCGGUCUGUCAAGUCGGAUGUGAAAUCCCCGGGCUCAACCUGGGAACUGCAUUCGAAACUGGCAGGCUUGAGUCUUGUAGAGGGGGGUAGAAUUCCAGGUGUAGCGGUGAAAUGCGUAGAGAUCUGGAGGAAUACCGGUGGCGAAGGCGGCCCCCUGGACAAAGACUGACGCUCAGGUGCGAAAGCGUGGGGAGCAAACAGGAUUAGAAACCCCGGUAGUCCCA
rnacentral:rRNA from 1 species